UACGUAGGGUGCGAGCGUUAAUCGGAAUUACUGGGCGUAAAGCGUGCGCAGGCGGAUUGUUAAGCAAGACGUGAAAUCCCCGGGCUUAACCUGGGAAUGGCGUUUUGAACUGGCAGUCUAGAGUGCGUCAGAGGGGGGUGGAAUUCCACGUGUAGCAGUGAAAUGCGUAGAGAUGUGGAGGAACACCGAUGGCGAAGGCAGCCCCCUGGGAUGACACUGACGCUCAUGUACGAAAGCGUGGGUAGCAAACAGG
rnacentral:rRNA from 2 species